rnacentral:sRNA from 1 species
CAAUCCUUCCAUUUGGACGGUUAC